rnacentral:rRNA from 1 species
AGUGAACGCUGGCGGUAGGCCUAACACAUGCAAGUCGAACGGCAGCACAGUAAGAGCUUGCUCUUACGGGUGGCGAGUGGCGGACGGGUGAGGAAUACAUCGGAAUCUACUUUUUCGUGGGGGAUAACGUAGGGAAACUUACGCUAAUACCGCAUACGACCUACGGGUGAAAGCAGGGGAUCUUCGGACCUUGCGCGAUUGAAUGAGCCGAUGUCGGAUUAGCUAGUUGGCGGGGUAAAGGCCCACCAAGGCGACGAUCCGUAGCUGGUCUGAGAGGAUGAUCAGCCACACUGGAACUGAGACACGGUCCAGACUCCUACGGGAGGCAGCAGUGGGGAAUAUUGGACAAUGGGCGCAAGCCUGAUCCAGCCAUACCGCGUGGGUGAAGAAGGCCCUCGGGUUGUAAAGCCCUCUUGUUGGGAAAGAAAAGCAGCAGGUUAAUACCCCGCUGUUCUGACGGUACCCAAAGAAUAAGCACCGGCUAACUUCGUG